rnacentral:rRNA from 1 species
AUAGGUGCCUGUACCGACAACCGACACAGGUGGUCAAGGAGAGUAUCCUAAGGUGAGCGAGAGAACUAUGGUUAAGGAACUCGGCAAAAUGACCCCGUAACUUCGGGAGAAGGGGUGGUCUAGCGAUAGACCCGCAGUGAAUAGGCCCAGGCAACUGUUUACCAAAAACACAGGUCUCUGCUAACACGAAAGUGGAUGUAUAGGGGCUGACGCCUGCCCAGUGCUGGAAGGUUAAAGAGAUUAGUUAGUAUGACGUAAGUCGAUAAUACGAAGCUUUGAACUGAAGCCCCAGUGAACGGCGGCCGUAACUAUAACGGUCCUAAGGUAGCGAAAUUCCUUGUCAGGUAAGUUCUGACCCGCACGAAAGGCGUAAUGAUCUGGGUACUGUCUCAACCAUAGACUCGGUGAAAUCUUAAUACCUGUGAAAAUGCAGGUUACCCGCGACUGGACGGAAAGACCCCGUGGAGCUUUACUGUAGCUUGAUAUUGGGAUUCGGUAAAUUAUGUAGAGCAUAGGUGGGAGACUAUGAGAUUAAGGCGCCAGCCUUAAAGGAGUCAUCAUUGGAAUACCACCCUUAGUUUAUUGAAUUUCUAACCUAGGACCAUGAUCUGGUUCAGGGACAGUGUCUGGUGGGCAGUUUGACUGGGGCGGUCGCCUCCUAAAAUGUAACGGAGGCGUUCAAAGGUUCCCUCAGAAUGGUUGGAAAUCAUUCGCAGAGCGUAAAGGUAUAAAGGGAGCUUGACUGCGAGACCUACAAGUCAAGCAGGUGCGAAAGCAGGACUUAGUGAUCAGGCGAUUCAGAAUGGAAUGGUCGUCGCUUAACGGAUAAAAGUUACCCCGGGGAUAACAGGCUGAUACCACCCAAUAGUUCACAUAGACGGUGGUGUUUGGCACCUCGAUGUCGGCUCGUCAUAUCCUGGAGGUGGAGUUGCUUCCAAGGGUUGGGCUGUUCGCCCAUUAAAAUGGCACGCGAGCUGGGUUCAGAACGUCGUGAGACAGUUCGGUCCCUAUCCGUCGUGGGCGCAGGAAAAUUGAGGAGAGCUAUCCUUAGUACGAGAGGACCGGGAUGGACCUACCUCUGGUGUAUCUGUUGUCACGCCAGUGGCAGUGCAGAGUAGCUAUGUAGGGAAGGGAUAAACGCUGAAAGCAUCUAAGCGUGAAGCCCUCUCCAAGAUGAGUUUUCCCAUUGUUUAACAAGUAAAAUCCCAGAUAGACUAACUGGUUGAUAGGCUAGAAGUGGAAGUGUAGCGAUACAUUGAGCGGACUAGUACUAAUAGAUUGAGGAUUUAAUCCC